UACAGAGAGGGCAAGCGUUGUCCGGAAUGACUGGGCGUAAAGCGCGCGCAGGCGGUUUCUUAAGUUGGAUGUGAAAUCCCCGGGCUUAACCUGGGAACUGCAUUCGAUACUGGGAGACUAGAGGCCGAGAGAGGAAAGCGGAAUGGCGAGUGUAGAGGUGAAAUUCGUAGAUAUUCGUCGGAACACCAGAGGCGAAGGCGGCUUUCUGGCUCGGACCUGACGCUCAGGCGCGAAAGCGUGGGGAGCAAACAGG
rnacentral:rRNA from 1 species